AACGUAGGUUCCGAGCGUUAUCCGGAUUUACUGGGCGUAAAGCGCGUUCAGGCGGUUUGGCAAGUCGGGCCUGAAAUCUCUCGGCUCAACCGGGAGAGGUUGUCCGAUACUGCUGGACUUGAGGGCAGUAGAGGGUGGUGGAAUUCCGGGUGUAGUGGUGAAAUGCGUAGAUAUCCGGAGGAACACCAGUGGCGAAAGCGGCCACCUGGACUGUACCUGACGCUGACACGCGAAAGCUAGGGGAGCGAACGGG
rnacentral:rRNA from 1 species